rnacentral:rRNA from 1 species
GAUGAACGCUGGCGGCGUGCCUAAUACAUGCAAGUCGAGCGAACAGACGAGGAGCUUGCUCCUCUGACGUUAGCGGCGGACGGGUGAGUAACACGUGGAUAACCUACCUAUAAGACUGGGAUAACUUCGGGAAACCGGAGCUAAUACCGGAUAAUAUAUUGAACCGCAUGGUUCAAUAGUGAAAGACGGUUUUGCUGUCACUAAUAGAUGGAUCAGCGCCGCAUUAGCUAGGUGGUAAGGUAACGGCGUACCAAGGCAACGAUGCGUAGCCGACCUGAGCGGGUGAUCGGCCACACUGGAACUGAGACACGGUCCAGACUCCUACGGGAGGCAGCAGUAGGGAAUCUUCCGCAAUGGGCGCAAUCGUGACGGUGCAACGCCGCGUGAGUGAUGAAGGUCUCCGGAUCGUAAAGCUCUGUUAUUAGUGAAGUACAAAUGUGUAAGUAACUAUUCUCGUCUUGACGGUACCUAAACAGAUAGCCACGGCUAACUUCGUG